UUGACCUCGAAUCAGGUAGGUACC
rnacentral:rRNA from 1 species